rnacentral:rRNA from 1 species
AUUGAACGCUGGCGGCAGGCUUAACACAUGCAAGUCGAGCGGGGGAAGGUAGCUUGCUACCGGACCUAGCGGCGGACGGGUGAGUAAUGCUUAGGAAUCUGCCUAUUAGUGGGGGACAACAUCUCGAAAGGGAUGCUAAUACCGCAUACGUCCUACGGGAGAAAGCAAGGGAUCUUCGGACCUUGCGCUAAUAGAUGAGCCUAAGUCGGAUUAGCUAGUUGGUGGGGUAAAGGCCUACCAAGGCGACGAUCUGUAGCGGGUCUGAGAGGAUGAUCCGCCACACUGGGACUGAGACACGGCCCAGACUCCUACGGGAGGCAGCAGUGGGGAAUAUUGGACAAUGGGGGGAACCCUGAUCCAGCCAUGCCGCGUGUGUGAGGAAGGCCUUAUGGUUGUAAAGCACUUUAAGCGAGGAGGAGGCUACUCUAGUUAAUACCUAGGGAUAGUGGACGUUACUCGCAGAAUAAGCACCGGCUAACUCUGUGCCAGCAGCCGCAGUAA